AUUUUUCAAUAACUAAUUUUUAAUAAUAUAAAAUAAAAUUGUUUGCAAUAAAAUGUAUUUAAUCAGCAUUGGAUUCUUUCUUUUUUUGCAAUUGGACAACUCACUCAUAACGCCUCUCUCCCUCUCUCAACGUCUUCACACUCACACAACACACGCCUCUCUUCUCUCUCCUUUCUCUCUCACAAGCGACAAAAAAAAGGAAAAAAUAAAA
rnacentral:lncRNA from 1 species